rnacentral:rRNA from 1 species
UACGGGGGGGGCAAGCGUUGUUCGGGAUUACUGGGCGUAAAGGGCUCGUAGGCGGCCAACUAAGUCGGACGUGAAAUCCCCAGGCUCAACCUGGGAACUGCGUCCGAUACUGGAUGGCUUGAAUCCGGGAGAGGGAUGCAGAAUUCCAGGUGUAGCGGUGAAAUGCGUAGAUAUCUGGAGGAAUACCGGUGGCGAAGGCGGCAUCCUGGACCGGCAUUGACGCUGAGGAGCGAAAGCCAGGGGAGCAAACGGG